rnacentral:rRNA from 1 species
GACGUAGGGUGCAAGCGUUAUCCGGAAUUAUUGGGCGUAAAGAGCUCGUAGGCGGUUUGUCGCGUCUGCUGUGAAAACCCGAGGCUCAACCUCGGGCCUGCAGUGGGUACGGGCAGACUAGAGUGCGGUAGGGGAGAUUGGAAUUCCUGGUGUAGCGGUGAAAUGCGCAGAUAUCAGGAGGAACACCGGUGGCGAAGGCGGAUCUCUGGGCCAUUACUGACGCUGAGGAGCGAAAGCGUGGGGAGCGAACAGG